AUUAACGAUCGACAAAUGCCCAGUCGACGAUGUUGGAGUUUUCUAGAACCGUGAUUCCCAAUCACCGUGCCGUAAAAGAUCAUCGCGUGUGUCUAAAUGGGCCCACAUUUCAUACAGAGUCCACCUGGAUUCACCCGACUGCCCUUUUUCGUGUCUGCGUUGCACUUUCCGUCGUCUUCGUUCCACGGAGACCUUGAAUCAAUUACCGAAGGUCUGCGGCUGUACAAAGGAAUGAUUUGCUGUUGGACGACGUUAAACUGUUAAAUGCCCAAGCGCCUCAGCAAGAGUUGAGGCGACGAGUUCUGCGCCUGCUGAUGAAAAUGG